rnacentral:rRNA from 1 species
CAGCAGCCGCGGUAAUACGAGGGGGGCAAGCGUUGUUCGGAUUUAUUGGGCGUAAAGGGUGCGUAGGCGGUCCGUACAGUUGGAUGUGAGAUUCCUGGGCUUAACCUGGGGGCUGCAUUCAAUACGUGCGGGCUUGAGUGUGGAAGAGGGUUGUGGAAUUCCCAGUGUAGGGGUGAAAUUCGUAGAUAUUGGGAAGAACACCAGUGGCGAAGGCGGCUUACUGACUCAUCCUAGACGCUGAGGUGCGAAAGCAUGGGGAGCAAACAGGAUUAGAUACCCCGGUAGUCCCUGUCUCUUAUAC